GUGGUCAAGUGAAUAAGGGCUGACGGUGGAUACCUAGGCACACAGAGGCGAAGAAGGACGUGGUUACCGACGAAAAGCUCCGGGGAGCUGGAAGCAAGCAUUGAGCCGGAGGUGUCCGAAUGGGGCAACCCAAAAACGGCUGGCAGAAUAUAUAUGCCAGUACGAGCGAACCCAGCCAACUGAAACAUCUUAGUAGCUGGAGGAAGAGAAAGCAAAAGCGAUUUCCUAUGUAGCGGUGAGCGAAAGGGAAACAGCCUAAACCAUUUGUUAAAACAGAUGGGGUAGUGGGACAGCCAUAAGUAAUUGAGGAAGUUAGACGAAGCAGCGAGAAACUGCACCACAGAAGGUGAAAGUCCUGUAGUCAAAAACCGAAUCAGUUACGGUUGUAUCCCGAGUAGCAUGGGGCUCGAGAAAUCCCGUGUGAAUCAGCGAGGACCACCUCGUAAGGCUAAAUACUCCUGUGUGACCGAUAGUGAACCAGUACCGCGAGGGAAAGGUGAAAAGAACCCCGGAAGGGGAGUGAAAUAGAACAUGAAACCGUCAGCUUACAAGCAAUGGGAGCUCGAUUAAACGAGUGACCGUGUGCCUGUUGAAGCAUGAGCCGGCGAGUUAUAGGCAGUGGCAGGUUAAAACCAGAAAGGUUGAAGCCAAAGCGAAAGCGAGUCUGAACAGGGCGAUAAGUCACAGUUUAUAGACCCGAACCCUGGUGAUCUAACCAUGUCCAGGAUGAAGCUUGGGUAACACCAAGUGGAGGUCCGAACCGACUUCUGUUGAAAAAGGAGCGGAUGAGGUGUGGUUAGGGGUGAAAUGCCAAUCGAACCAGGAGCUAGCUGGUUCUCCCCGAAAUGUGUUGAGGCGCAGCGGUGAGAGUAAAAGUCUGGGGGUAAAGCACUGUUUCGGUGCGGGCUGCGAGAGCGGUACCAAAUCGAGACAAACUCUGAAUACCAGAUGGUAAUCUCACCAGUGAGACGGUGGGGGAUAAGCUUCAUCGUCGAAAGGGAAACAGCCCAGACCACCAGCUAAGGUCCCCAAAUUACCACUAAGUGAGAAAGGAGGUUGGAGUCCAUAGACAACCAGGAGGUUGGCUUAGAAGCAGCCACCCUUGAAAGAGUGCGUAAUAGCUCACUGGUCAAGGACUCUGGCACCGAAAAUGAACGGGGCUAAGUGGUAUACCGAAGCUGUGGAAUACAAAUUGUAUUGGUAGGGGAGCGUUCCGUGGUAGUAAGAAGCAUUAGCGAGAGCAGGUGUGGACGAAACGGAAGUGAGAAUGUCGGCUUGAGUAGCGAAAAUAUGUGUGAGAAUCACAUACCCCGAAACCCUAAGGGUUCCUCCGGACGGCUCGUCCGCGGAGGGUGAGUCAGGACCUAAGGCGAGGUCGAAAGGCGUAGUCGAUGGACAACGGGUGAAAAUUCCCGUACCGUCAUUGGUUGGUGCAGAGGGACGGAGAAGGCGUGAGCUAGCCGGAAGAUGGUUACCGGUGUAAGCGUUCGAGGUGUUGCGGAGCGGAGAAAACGUUCCAAGCUGAGGCGUGAGUCCGACUGCCUACGGGCAGGAAGUAGUAUCUGUCAGGCUUCCAAGAAAAGCUCUAAACACCAUAAGCCAAUGAUGCCUGUACCCGAAACCGACACAGGUAGGGUGGUUGAGAAUACUCAGGGGCGCGAGAUAACUCUCUCUAAGGAACUCGGCAAAAUGGCCCCGUAACUUCGGGAGAAGGGGUGCCAGCGAGAGCUGGCCACAGUGAAGAGUCCCAGGCGACUGUUUACCAAAAACACAGGUCUCCGCAAAGUCGAAAGACGCAGUAUGGGGGCUGACGCCUGCCCAGUGCCGGAAGGUUAAAGAAGUUGGUCAGCGAAAGUGAAGCUAGCGACUGAAGCCCCGGUGAACGGCGGCCGUAACUAUAACGGUCCUAAGGUAGCGAAAUUCCUUGUCGGGUAAGUUCCGACCCGCACGAAAGGCGUAACGAUCUGGGAGCUGUCUCGGAGAGAGACUCGGCGAAAUAGAAAUGUCUGUGAAGAUACGGACUACCUGCACUUGGACAGAAAGACCCUAUGAAGCUUUACUGUAGCCUGGAAUUGGGUUCGGGCUUCUCUUGCGCAGGAUAGGUGGGAGGCGAUGAAUAGUUUCUUGUGGGGAACUAGGAGCCAUCGGUGAGAUACCACUCUAGAGAGGCUAGAAUUCUAACUUGGAGCUAUAUCAAGCCCAAAGACAGUUUCAGGGGGGCAGUUUGACUGGGGCGGUCGCCUCCUAAAAGGUAACGGAGGCGCGCAAAGGUUCCCUCAGGCUGGUUGGAAAUCAGCCGGAGAGUGUAAAGGCACAAGGGAGCUUGACUGUAAGAGAGACAACUCGAGCAGGUAGGAAACUAGGCCUUAGUGAUCCGACGGUACUGCGUGGAAAGGCCGUCGCUCAACGGAUAAAAGUUACUCUAGGGAUAACAGGCUGAUCUCCCCCAAGAGUUCACAUCGACGGGGAGGUUUGGCACCUCGAUGUCGGCUCAUCGCAACCUGGGGCGGAAGUACGUCCCAAGGGUUGGGCUGUUCGCCCAUUAAAGCGGUACGUGAGCUGGGUUCAGAACGUCGUGAGACAGUUCGGUCCAUAUCCGGUGUAGGCGCAAGAGCAUUGAGAGGAGUUCUCCCUAGUACGAGAGGACCGGGAGGAACGCACCGCUGGUGUACCUGUUAUCGUGCCAACGGUAGACGCAGGGUAGCCAAGUGCGGAGCGGAUAACCGCUGAAAGCAUCUAAGUGGGAAGCCCACCUCAAGAUGAGUGCUCUCACUACUUUAAGUAGGUAAGGUCACGGGAAGACUACCCGUUUAUAGGUGUUCGGUGGAAAUGCAGUAAUGUAUGCAGCCUAGACACACUAACAGACCGAGGACUUGACCUC
rnacentral:rRNA from 1 species